rnacentral:rRNA from 1 species
GUUUGAUCCUGGCUCAGGAUGAACGCCGGCGGUGUGCCUANCACUUNCAAGUCGUACGCACUGGCCCAGCUGAUUGAUGGUGCUUGCACCUGAUUGACGAUGGAUCACCAGUGAGUGGCGGACGGGUGAGUAACACGUAGGUAACCUGCCCCGGAGCGGGGGAUAACAUUUGGAAACAGAUGCUAAUACCGCAUAACAACAAAAGCCACAUGGCUUUUGUUUGAAAGAUGGCUUUGGCUAUCACUCUGGGAUGGACCUGCGGUGCAUUAGCUAGUUGGUAAGGUAACGGCUUACCAAGGCGAUGAUGCAUAGCCGAGUUGAGAGACUGAUCGGCCACAAUGGAACUGAGACACGGUCCAUACUCCUACGGGAGGCAGCAGUAGGGAAUCUUCCACAAUGGGCGCAAGCCUGAUGGAGCAACACCGCGUGAGUGAAGAAGGGUUUCGGCUCGUAAAGCUCUGUUGUUGGAGAAGAACGUGCGUGAGAGUAACUGUUCACGCAGUGACGGUAUCCAACCAGAAAGUCACGGCUAACUACGUGCCAGCAGCCGCGGUAAUACGUAGGNUGGCCAAGCGUUAUUCCGGAUUUAUUGGGCGUAAAAGCGAGCGCCAGGCGGNUUGCUUAGGUCUAAUGUGAAAGCCUUCGGCUUAANCCGAAGAAGUGCAUCGGAAACCCGGGCGACUUGAGUGCAGAAGAGGACAGUGGAACUCCAUGUGUAGCGGUGGAAUGCGUAGAUAUAUGGAAGAACACCAGUGGCGAAGGCGGCUGUCUGGUCUGCAACUGACGCUGAGGCUCGAAAGCAUGGGUAGCGAACAGGAUUAGAUACCCCUGGUAGUCCAUGCCGUAAACGAUGAGUGCUAGGUGUUGGAGGGUUUCCGCCCUUCAGUGCCGGAGCUAACGCAUUAAGCACUCCGCCUGGGGGAGUACGACCGCNAGGUUGAAACUCAAAGGAAUUGACNGGGGGCCCNCACCAAGCCGGUGGAGCAUGUGGUUUAAUUCGAAGCUACGCGAAGAACCUUACCAGGUCUUGACAUCUUGCGCUAACCUUAGAGAUAAGGCGUUCCCUUCGGGGACGCAAUGACAGGUGGUGCAUGGUCGUCGUCAGCUCGUGUCGUGAGAUGUUGGGUUAAGUCCCGCAACGAGCGCAACCCUUGUUACUAGUUGCCAGCAUUAAGUUGGGCACUCUAGUGAGACUGCCGGUGACAAACCGGAGGAAGGUGGGGACGACGUCAGAUCAUCAUGCCCCUUAUGACCUGGGCUACACACGUGCUACAAUGGACGGUACAACGAGUCGCAAACUCGCGAGAGUAAGCUAAUCUCUUAAAGCCGUUCUCAGUUCGGACUGUAGGCUGCAACUCGCCUACACGAAGUCGGAAUCGCUAGUAAUCGCGGAUCAGCAUGCCGCGGUGAAUACGUUCCCGGGCCUUGUACACACCGCCCGUCACACCAUGGGAGUUUGUAACGCCCAAAGUCGGUGGCCUAACCUUUAUGGAGGGAGCUUAAAUGGAGGCGGGACAGAUGACUGGGGUGAAGUCGUAAACAAGGUAAC